rnacentral:rRNA from 1 species
ACCAGACUUGCCCACUAAUUGUUACUCAAGAGUACGUUUAAAACUCUUUCAUUCAAGUGAUUAUCAUAAAGAAAAUCCUUGUAAGUCUCUUCACUACCUCCGCCAUUGGCGAGUGGGUAAUUUGCGCGCCUGCUGCCUUCCUUAGAAGUGGUAGCUAUUUCUCAGGCUCCCUCUCCGGAAUCGAACCAUAUGAUUCUCCGUUACCCGUCAACACCACUGCGGUCCACGACAUCGCAGUCCAAAGUUGAUAGAUCAGAAUUUCAUAGUGAUCUGUCGUCAGCACGAGGCUAUACGAUCGGUUAGUCAUCUAGUUUCAUCAAUGAAUUAUAUUGAUGUUUGAAUCUAAUAAAUACACAUUUUCCAAUUCUCAAAGAAAAUUAGUUAAUGUUUGUUGCAAGUAUUAGCUCUAGAAUUACUACAGUUAUCCUAGUAAAAUAUGAUGAUCACUUAGAUGUAAAAACUGUUUUAAUGAGCUCUUCGCAGUUUCACAAAUACAAGUUGUUUGUACUUAGACAUGCAUGGCUUAAUCUUCGAGACAAGCAUAUAGUACUGGCAGGAUCAACCAG